rnacentral:ncRNA from 1 species
AUUAGUAGAGGCUGCGCUUAUUAUUAGUAAGUCAAAUGAUGCUCCAAAGCAAGUGAUUUUGACCCAAAGGAAUCGGCGCCGAAGGGAACUGUGGAAAGGUUGCCCUGGGCAUAUGACUAAUAAUCAUAUGACUGUCAUCUGAGGAUGGAGAGCUACUUAU